UGCAUUUACUACUGUAAGGUCGCUCUGGAUAAGAGCGUCUGCUAAAUGACUAAAA
rfam:Salmo salar isolate Sally breed double haploid chromosome ssa13, whole genome shotgun sequence.